rnacentral:rRNA from 1 species
GUCUUCGCGACACUAUGUUUAAUACGCCAGUUCUCGUCUGAUCACCGAAGCUAAGCAGCAUUGGGCUCGGUCAGUACUUGGGAGGGAGACCACCGGGGAACACCGAGUGCUGAUGGCA